UUAAGAUGUUAUCGUGGUAGUUAACGUCUUGUUUCUUUUUAUCUGAUCUAUCGCAAACAAUCGCACAGGAAGUAGUUUUAUUGUUUAUCAAGCCAACGAUUCGUGUUAUAUAGUUGAACUGUGUCCAUUAGACGGUAAUCUAUUUUCAAAGCUGUAAGAAGAUGAAGCGUUCCAUUAUUUUGGUCCUUUUUACUGCUUACUUACUAAAUUAUAGUUACGCUCAGGACCCGCCAGCUCCCCCUCAACCACCUGAAGCAGAAAUUUUCAGUGACUAUUCGCAUACCUUAGGGAGGGUUGUUAGACAAAUGCCAAAAAUGCCAUCACCACCUCCACCACCACAAAUGCCUAACUGGUUCGAGUUUAAUUCACGUAUGAAACGAGAUGCGAAAGGUGUCGGCGGGUAUAUGCCGACUAGAAAAGGAUAAUAUUCGAUUACACUUGACAACAAACUGGACCCUUAUAUUGAUGAACCUGGCUUGUGUUAUACGUUUAAGUUUUGUUUUCUAAAUAUUAGAUAUGGUGUUUGGUUUAUUUAGUAUGUAAGGUAAAAUGUUGGUUGCAGCAAAAUCAAUGUCACCUGAUAAAUAAAUAAAAACUGACAAUUUUAGUAUCAGAAAUUAGAUCAAAGAUAUUUGACAUGAAAAACAAUUUAAUAAAGUUUCUGUUGAAGUUAA